UCGCUCGCGGCGCGUCUCGGCCGCCAGUCGUAGUUAAAAGUGGUCGCGAUGGCCGCCGCCGGAUUCGUUCGUGGUGUCAUCCGCCUUGCGAGGGGGUUUGUUGCCAAAGUGGUGAUACUAUCGAUACUCGCGGCCCCAAUCGGGGCGCAGAAGAGCUUCCCGAUGAAGAUGCGCGACAUAAACGAGGACUUCGACCGUCAGCUGGACGAGAUAAUGGCCUCCGAGGCUGCGGUUACCUACUCGACGAUAAACACAACGGGGACGGCCUACGCCGCCUCGACCAAGUUCAACCCGAAGGGAAUGGGUCAGCUGUACAACGUGACGAACAUGUUCAUCGACCUCAUACAGAGCAAGCAGGCCUACCCCGAGGGGAUGAUAACGCUGGAAGAUGGUCAACCGAAGUUUGCAGAUCCAGUUAAAGAGUGGAAAAUCAUUCUGAAGCAUUACAGCGGUGUGGCCGGUCUCGCCAUAGCCGGCCUAUUACUCGCGGCUAUUCUACCGUGUAUUGGAUUGUUCUUUUGCUGCUGUCGUUGCGCUGGUCAUUGCGGCGGGCGAAGUCAACCUUUCGACAAGAAGCAUGAUCACUGCCGAAAAAUUAUGCUCAGCAUUGUCUUGAUCGCUGUUGCGACGAUCAUAUUAUUUGGUGUCGUUUGUGCGUUUGUUACAAACGAAUACAUGCAAGAAGGAACUAACGAACUGCCGAACAAUCUUAAAACUAACCUAAAGGAUGUCCAAUUGUACCUCCGCGUUACAUCCCGUGAAAUUGACAAUUUACUUGGCACCAAUUACAACCAACUCGAGUACACAUUGAACAAUAUUCUCCAAGCAAGCGGAAGAAUCGUUACGGAACAGUUAGCGAAAUACUCUGACGCCGCCUCACUGACAAAUCUGAAUAAUAUCGUCUCUGGACUUGGUGAGAUUGGUAAUGAUUUGAAGAUGAUUAAGGAUAUCACUCAAGGCUUACGGACUAAUGCGACUCAAUUAGAAAUUGAACUCCGGCAGGUGAAAAAUAGUUUGCUGUACACUUUAAAAGAAUGUACGAUACAGUACUGUCAAGAAAUUAGGAACGAGUACAAUGUCAACGGGAUGGCUGUUCAAGUUCAUUUUGACAAGUACCUGGAUAGAUAUUUCCCGAAGCUUCAGUCUCUGCCGGAUGUUUCACAUGCCCUGCACAACAUAACACUUUUGAUGGAAGGCAAUAUUGUCUCAGAAGUAAGCCAAGGGAGGGAUUCGUUCGCCAAGAUUCAGAAAGACAUUCAACACGCUGUAAAUCAGACUAUCCCUGUUAUCAGUGCUAGCAUUAGACGAGCUGGUGAUUCUCUGCAAGGAAUCGCCAACAACAUUACAUCGUUACUUGAUAAAAUCAGCUCCGAUAUCCAUACGAAAUAUAUUCGCCAUGUUGAUAUUGCCGGCACCCAUAUAAAUCAAUAUUCCCAAUACCGGUACUAUGUAGGACUUGGGAUAUCUGGAAUAUUACUGACAGUCCUAUGUUGCUUGACGCUCGGUUUACUCUGCGGUGUUUGUGGAAAACGCCCCGAUGGUUACGGAGACGAUUGUUGCAAUAAGGGCGCAGGUGCACGAUUUUUGAUGAUGGCAGUGUGGAUUAUAUUUCUAUUGACCAGUAUUUUAAUGAUUGUGACUGUGGCUCACAUGGUUACCGGUGUUAUCAUUCAACGCGGCGUUUGUGAGCCGCUAAAAAAUCCCAAAGACAACCGGAUGUUCAAUUUGGUCGAUGAUUUUGUUCAGAUAAAAUCAAAGCUGUAUCCAAAUAAACCUGAUGUGAAUAUUAACAUGAGUUAUAUUAUAACUAUGUGCCAUGCAAACGAAACUCUCUACAAGGUCUUAAAACUUGAGAACUUAAUCGAUUUGACAAGCUUACAUACUUAUACAGAACGUUACGACAUCAACAAUACAAUCCAACAAUUACGAAAAAAAAUAAAUCUUUCCCCAGGGGUUGUCAUUUUGAGUGACAGUGCUCGGUCAAAGCUCAAUGAUUUGGCUCAGAGUGGUUUGAGUGAAAUCAUGUUCUCUCGGUACACUGACUUAUUGGAAAACAAUAUAACGAAUUUAAACUUAGAACACCUCGCCAACAAGUUGAGAGAUGUGGCGGCAAAAUUACCGGAAGGACAUGACGGUAUAAAAAGAAAUCUUGAGACCAAUGCGAUUAAUUUGGAACGAUGUCAUAGAACAUUAGUCACCCCGAUGACGUUGCUUAGCCAACAACUAAGCGUCAAUGCGUUGACUUUGCAAGAGCAUAUUAAGUUUAAUCACAGCUCUAUGACGGAAGCGAUACAUGAUCUAGUCAAUGAGACAACCGAGGCACAAAAGUUACUGAACAAAGAGGGCCCGAAGUAUGUUCAGUAUGUUGCUAAAAAGUUCGGAGACAAAUUCCUCAGCCUAGUGGAUGAUUUUAUGAAUUUCGUUGCUACGAAUGGCAUGGAAACAGUUGGAAAAUGUGCCCCAGUGUCAAAUGCGUACGACGCAACACUCGUUGCUUCAUGUAACAAAAUCUUGGACCCAUUUAACGGUUUUUGGGCGAGUGUUGGAUGGUGCUUAGUUCUCUUCAUACCGACUAUAAUACUCUGCGCUAAGCUCAGUGCUCUUUACCAGAAGUCUGAUCCAUAUCCAGGCCCACUGGUCGAAGCUGAAUAUUUGUAUGACGCAUAUGCUGACAGGGAUAACAUACCCCUUGCCCAUGUUCACGAUAAAAAACAUGGUGCUCACAGUAGGCACCAUCCGGCACCCUAUGUUGAAAGCUACGACGGACCUGCGGUUGCAUAUAGUGAUCGAGAAAGGGUGUCCGAUGCUCAUCAAAGCUCGUCCAACCACGAUUCAAGAUAUGCGGAUCUAGCGCCGAAGUGAGUGGGAACCUUGAGGGGAGGCCUCUCACAUCUCUCAAAACACCUCCACACAAAUUGGGAUUUUCCAAACGGGGGACCACCAAGGUAUCAACCAGCUGCUGCAGCACCACCCCUCAGCACCGAGUAUGAGCGACCUCCCCCUUACUACUAUCCUGGACCAGG
rnacentral:misc_RNA from 1 species